rnacentral:rRNA from 1 species
CCUACGGGGGCAGCAGUGGGGAAUACUGCGCAAUGGGCGAAAGCCUGACGCAGCGACGCCGCGUGAGGGAUGAAGGUCUUCGGAUCGUAAACCUCUGUCAGCAGGGAAGAACGGUCACUGUGCUAGUCAGCAGUGAAUUGACGGUACCUGCAAAGGAAGCACCGGCUAACUCCGUGCCAGCAGCCGCGGUAAUACGGAGGGUGCGAGCGUUAAUCGGAAUUACUGGGCGUAAAGGGUGCGCAGGCGGCUACAUAAGUCAGAUGUGAAAUCCCCGGGCUUAACCUGGGAACUGCGUUUGAAACUAUGUGGCUAGAGUACAGCAGAGGGGGGUGGAACUCCAUGUGUAGCAGUGAAAUGCGUAGAUAUAUGGAAGAACAUCGAUGGCGAAGGCAGCCCCCUGGGUUGAUACUGACGCUCAUGCACGAAAGCGUGGGGAGCAAACAGGAUUAGAUACCCGGUGUAGUC